rnacentral:rRNA from 1 species
CCUACGGGAGGCAGCAGUGAGGAAUAUUGGUCAAUGGGCUUACGCCUGAACCAGCCAAGUCGCGUGAGGGAAGACUGCCCUAUGGGUUGUAAACCUCUUUUGUCAGGGAGCAACGCCGGCUACGUGUAGCCGGACUGAGAGUACCUGAAGAAAAAGCAUCGGCUAACUCCGUGCCAGCAGCCGCGGUAAUCCGGAGGAUGCGAGCGUUAUCCGGUUUUAUUGGGUUUAAAGGGUGCGUAGGCGGAAUGCCAAGUCAGCGGUAAAAUCGCGGGGCUCAACCUCGCUCCGCCGUUGAAACUGGCGGUCUUGAGUGGGCGAGAAGUAUGCGGAAUGCGUGGUGUAGCGGUGAAAUGCAUAGAUAUCACGCAGAACUCCGAUUGCGAAGGCAGCAUACCGGCGCCCAACUGACGCUGAAGCACGAAAGCGUGGGUAUCGAACAGGAUUAGAUACCCUGGUAGUC